UGCAGGAAUACGAUCUGGUCAUCUGGAUGUGAGAGGUCUUGGAUUUUCACCUGGUAGUUCUUGGGUGGAUGCUCAAGGUUGUGUCGCUUCAGUCCCAUUGAAAAUGGCAAGUUAGGGCCAACCAAUAUCUCUAUUCGCAGGUGCCCCAAAAAUAGAGGAACCCCCCCCCCCCCUCGGCAAAAUACAUUCACUAGGUCCUGAAACGUCUUUUCAUAAAGCUCCUGUCGGCGGUGAGUGAUCCCGAAACAGCAUUGAUUAAGCAUAAAUGUGAGAAUCAAGAAAUCAAUUUAACGAGAAUAUAGUUUAUCUCAUAUAAUUUAACUCAAACUCUAAUGAUCGGCGGACUUGAAGCUAAGUUUUGCUUCUAUACUUGUGAUGAUGUCUAGAAGUUUCAAGCGGUGUGAUUUUCAUUAGGAUUACGUGAU
rnacentral:lncRNA from 1 species